CACGUAGGAGGCGAGCGUUGUCCGGAAUCAUUGGACGUAAAGAGCGCGCAGGCGGCUUGGCAAGUCGGGUGUGAAAUCCCGGGGCUCAACCCCGGGACUGCAUUCGAUACUGUCAGGCUAGAGGUAGGUAGGGGAGAUCGGAAUUCCUGGUGUAGCGGUGAAAUGCGCAGAUAUCAGGAGGAACACCGGUGGCGAAGGCGGAUCUCUGGGCCUUACCUGACGCUCAGGCGCGAAAGCUAGGGGAGCGAACAGG
rnacentral:rRNA from 1 species